rnacentral:misc_RNA from 1 species
UUUCCGUAGGUGAACCUGCGGAAGGAUCAUUAAUGUAUAACCGAGGUGCGAGGGCUGUCGCUUAUCCGACAGGUCCUGCACGCUCGAGUGCCCUCACAAACAUACAUCUUACUCCUAAGUGCACCUGCGCGUGGGUCCCCCGCUAGCUAGUUCCGAGGGGCGCUCACGAUUUCACACAAACUUUGUAUGCAGUGUAGUAUGUGUUUUUAGUUGUUGCGAUCUGGCAAUCAAUACCAUUUUUAACAACGGAUCGCUUGGCUCUCGCAUCGAUGAAGACAC